AUUCCAGCUCCAAUAGCGUAUAUUAAAGUUGUUGCAGUUAAAAAGCUCGUAGUUGAAUUUUGGACCUGGUUGAAUGGUCCCGCCGCAAGGUGGGUACUGUUUGAUUGGGUCUUUCUUUGGGGGGAAUUAGUGUGCUCUUAAUUGGGUGCAUUAAGGAUCCGUAACUUUUACUUUGAAAAAAUUAGAGUGUUUAAAGCAGGCUUAGGCCUGAAUACAUUAGCAUGGAAUAAUAGAAUAGGACCUGUGUUCUAUUUUGUUGGUUUCUAGGACGUAGGUAAUGAUUAAUAGGGACAGUUGGGGGCAUUAGUAUUUAAGUGUCAGAGGUGAAAUUCUUGGAUUGCUUAAAGACUAACUUCUGCGAAGGCAUUUGCCAUGGAUGUUUUCAUUG
rnacentral:rRNA from 1 species